GGAAAUGAGUCUGCAGUCACCUUGAUUUUGGACUUCGAAGCCUUCAGAACUUAUCUACCUUUGGAACUCAGACUACAAGUCAGAAAGAUCACUUGUGUUCUAAAAUGCUGAAAUGGAGGCAGAGACGGUUUCAGAUGAGAAGGGACUGUCCACAAAAGGAAAAGAGUGAAAUCCAAUGAACAUUAGGAAGCUGAAUUUCUGCUUCAGGAAGAAGAAAUUCUGCCAGUAGACUGACUGCCUUUGGACUUGAACUUCAUCAUCAACUCUUUCCUGGAUCUACAGUCUGCAUAACG